rnacentral:SRP_RNA from 2 species
GCCAGGCACAGUGGCGUGUGCCUGUAAUCCCAGCUACUUGGGAGGCUGAGACAGGAGACUUGCUUGAACCCAGGAGACGGAGGUUGCAGUGAGCCAAGAUCGCGCCACUGUGCUCCAGCCUGUGCAACAGAGCGAGACUCCGUCUCAA